rnacentral:rRNA from 1 species
UACGUAGGGGGCAAGCGUUGUCCGGAUUUAUUGGGCGUAAAGAGCGUGUAGGCGGCCAGGUAGGUCUGCUGUGAAAACUCGAGGCUCAACCUCGAGAUGUCGGCGGAAACCAUCUGGCUAGAGUCCGGAAGAGGAGAAUGGAAUUCCCGGUGUAGCGGUGAAAUGCGCAGAUAAUCGGGAAGAACACCCGUGGCGAAGGCGGUUCUCUGGGACGGUACUGACGCUGAGACGCGAAAGCGUGGGGAGCGAACAGG